UGAAUACGAGACGCUACGGCGUCGAAGCAGUCUAUGUCAUACUUCCAAGAAAAGCUUGCACUGUCAUAAACAAAUAAUGCCUGUACCAUAACCGACACAGGUGGGUAGGUAGAGUAUACUAAGGGGCGCGAGAUAACUCUCUCUAAGGAACUCGGCAAAAUGACUCCGUAACUUCGGGAGAAGGAGUGCCUUAUUUAUAAGGUUGCAAUAACAAGAUCCAAGCAACUGUUUACCAAAAACACAGGUCUCCGCUAAGUCGUAAGACGAUGUAUGGGGGCUGACGCCUGCCCAGUGCCAGAAGGUUAAAGAAGUCGGUUAGCAUUAGCGAAGCUGGUAACUGAAGCCCUGGUGAACGGCGGCCGUAACGAUAACGGUCCUAAGGUAGCGAAAUUCCUUGUCGGGUAAGUUCCGACCCGCACGAAAGGCGUAAUGAUUUGGAUACUGUCUCGGAGAGGGACUCGGUGAAAUAGACUUGUCUGUGAAGAUGCGGACUACCUGCACCAGGACAGAAAGACCCUAUGAAGCUUUACUGUAACUUGAAAUUGAAAUUGGACUUUAUUUGCGCAGUAUAGGUGGGAGGUGUUGAGAGUAUUCUUGCGGGAAUAUUGGAGCCAUCAGUGAGAUACCACUCUUGUAAUGUUAGAUUUCUAACUUUGUAUCAUUAUCUGGUCAAAGGACAGUUUCAGGCGGGCAGUUUGACUGGGGCGGUCGCCUCCUAAACGGUAACGGAGGCGCACAAAGGUUUCCUCUGAACGGGUAGAAAUCGUAUCUAGAGUGUAAAGGCAUAAGGAAGCUUGACUGUGAGACCUACAAGUCGAGCAGGGACGAAAGUCGGUCUUAGUGAUCUGUCGGUGCUGAGUGGAAAGGCCGUCACUCAACGGAUAAAGGUUACUCUAAGGAUAACAGGCUGAUCUCCCCCAAGAGUUCACAUCGACGGGGAGGUUUGGCACCUCGAUGUCGGCUCAUCGCAUCCUGGGGCGGUAGUACGUCCCAAGGGUUGGGCUGUUCGCCCAUGAAAGCGGUACGCGAGCUGGGUUCAGAACGUCGUGAGACAGUUCGGUCCAUAUCCGGUGUAGGCGUUAGAAUAUUGAGAGGAGCCUUCUUUAGUACGAGAGGACCGAGAAGGACAUACCUCUGGUGUACCAGUUAUCGUGCCAACGGUAAACGCUGGGUAGCUAUGUAUGGAGAGGAUAACCGCUGAAAGCAUCUAAGUGGGAAGCCCACCUCAAGAUAAGUAUUCC
rnacentral:rRNA from 1 species